ACUACAGGUGGCAGCAGUGAGGAAUAUUGGUCAAUGGCCGGAAGGCUGAACCAGCCAAGCCGCGUGAAGGACGAAGGUGCCAAGCAUUGUAAACUUCUUUUGUCAAAGGACAAAAUCAGGCUCGAGAGCCUGACCGAGGGUACUUGAAGAAAAAGCAUCGGCUAAAUCCGUGCCAGCAGCCGCGGUAAUACGGGGGAUGCGAGCGUUAUCCGGUGUUAUUGGGUUUAAAGGGUGCGUAGGCGGGAUGUUAAGUCAGCGGUAAAAGCCCGGGGCUCAACCCCGGCGAGCCGUUGAAACUGGCUGGCUUGAGAUGUCGAGAGGUAUGCGGAAUGCGCAGUGUAGCGGUGAAAUGCUUAGAUAUUGCGCAGAACUCCGAUUGCGAAGGCAGCAUACCGGCGGCGAUCUGACGCUGAGGCACGAAAGCGUGGGUAUCGAACAGGAUUAGAUACCCUUGUAGUC
rnacentral:rRNA from 1 species